AUAAAGACAGCAAAAUGAAGUUGGUAAUGCUUCGGAUCAAGGGAAGGGAGUUCAAAGCUCCUGCCGCCCCGCGACUGUAAUCAGGACGAAAGCCGCAGUGACGCCACUGUCCCUUAAGGAUGGGAAGGCGCGGCAAGUAGAAUGAAAGAGAGCCAGGAGACCUGUUCCGAUGCCAUAAGCGAU
rfam:Delta proteobacterium ML8_D scaffold_44, whole genome shotgun sequence.